AUUUUCUUAAAGAUCGGGGUCUGGACUCUGAUUUCAUUAUAAGAGGAGUAAAGAAUCAGGACACUGGAAGAAAAAUACAGAGAUUCAUGACUCCAGAAUUUCCACUAACCUGUUAACCGAGCAGCUCAGGUGCACUGCUUGAGAUUUCACAUGAAUAGUUUGAUGAACAGUAAUGCUGCAGCAAUGUGCAGCUGAGGACCUGCGGGUUAUAAACUGCUGCACUGUGGACCAGAUGGUCUAGGUUCGAUGAGGAGGUGGGGAUGUGUGUCAGCGUUCACAGGAGUCAAGAGAAAGGUUAAAAGUCUGCAUUAGCUGAUGUCACCAAACUGUGGACUCUGAGGAGGUCCACAAGGGCGGAGUGUGUCAUUUGGGACAGAGCGGAAGUUGAACACAGCUGAAAGCUUCACAUCAUAAUCGAUGACAUCAGAUGCAGUUCCAAGGAUGAGGAACAAAUGUCUGAAGCAAGAAAAGGCAAAGGAAAAUAAUAUUAUGGCGGACAAGUUAGCAUUCAUUACUUUUAUUGUGGAAGUAGUGAACUGCUCGGCCUAAAGUGAGUAGAACAGAAAAAAUAAAAAUAAAAAAUCAUACAAGCAGCAGAUACGUAUUUGAAGGCAGAUGGAAUAACAGUUGAUCAGAUAAAUUAAAAACUAAAAAUGCAAGUUACUAAUACCCAGACUGUACGUGGAGGCUCAUAAUGGUGAUGAUAAUCUUGCACUGGAAUACAAGAAGCUUAAUAUCAAAUAGGCAAGAAUUUAAAAUAUAUAGAUAAUUUCAAAACUAAACCUCAUAUAUGUGUACAAGAAUCUUGGUUAAAACCAAAUUUAAAUUUUGUGGUUCAAGGGUAUUCUGCAGAGCACAAAGAUAGGAUUAAAGGCGAUGGAGGGGGAGUAGUAACUUUUAUUAAACAAUGAGUAGCAUACAGGGAGGUGGGUGUGAAUGAGGAAUUUGAAUUGGUAGUGGUUGAAGUAAGAGCUGGAAAUCAGAGUAUAAGGGUAAUUAAUUUUUAUAAUCUGUGUAAAAGAUUAAAUAAGGACUUAAUUAAACACAUCGGAGGAGAAGGAAACUUUACAUUAGUGUGAUAUGCGGACUUGAAUGCGCACAGUACUUUGUGGGGAAGUGAAUAUAAUGAUCAAAAUGUGAAUGCUGUAGAAGAAAUGUUAGAUUCUAAUGAUCUGGUGUGUCUCAAUGAUGGAAGUAAGCUCCGCUUCAGCACCGCGAGUGUUUUGGAAAGCACAGAAGCACGUGACUACGAGGUGGGGCAGAAGAAACACACACAGCUGGCAACCAAUGAGGGGCAGUUGUGAGGACGUGCUCACCUUCCCCCUUCCUACACAUACUAAAAUAAAAGCAUUUCCUGUUUUACCUGUAAUCUGUCUGCACUGUAAGACAUUUUAUUGCAUUUUUGUGGUAACUUACUGGCAGCAAAAUGCUAUUGCCAGUAAUUUACUGUAACUACCCCUUUACAGUAGCUUACCUGUAAAUGUGUUUUACAGUAUGAAGCCCUUACCACAAUUUAAUUUUACAGUAUGAGGCCCUUACCGCAAUUUAAUUUUACAGUAUGAGGCCAUUACCACAAUUUAAUUUUACAGUAUGAGACCCUUACCAUGCUCUCACCAAAGCAGUUUUAAAAAUGGACGUAAUACAAUGGAUUCAAUCAUAUGCCUAGAAUCAGAAGUUAGAAAGGCAAUGGUGAAUAAAGAAAUAUUAGUAGGUGUGUUUUUUGAUGCGGAAAAAGCAUAUGAUAUUCUAUGGAAAGAGGGACUCCUAAUCAAAUUAGAUAAGAUGGGAAUUAAAGGUAAACUAUAUAAUGGAUAAUGGAUUUUCUAAUGGACAGGACCAUCCAAGUAAGGGUCGGUACAAGGUAUUCUAAGAUAUAUAAUACUGGCAAUGGUACACCACAAGGAAGUGUUUGUAGCCCAGUUCUUUUGACCUGUGUGAUAAAUGACAUCUUUCAGGAAUUGUACAAGGAAUGGGUAAAUCCCUUUAUGUGGAUGAUGAUGAUGGUGCAAGAAAUGCAGCAUAUGUCGAAAGUAGUAUGCAGAAAGCAGAUAAAGAAGUAGAAAAAUGGGUGAAAAAUUGGAGCUUCAGAUUGUCAGUACAAAAAACAAAAGUGAUGUGUUUUUCAAAGAAAAAGAAAUCACCAAUAAUUAUGUUCAACCAAUAUGGUCAAACAUUGGAGCAAGUUCCAGAAAUUAGGUUUCUAGGAGUAUGGAUGGAUUCAAAACUAACCUUUGUGUCUUAUUUCCUCAGUUUACACAUUUCACACGUUUUCUAUGUUCUGUCGUGAAUAACAUAAGGCUUUAGGAGAUUUGCAAAUUACUGCAUUUUGUUUUUAUUUACAUCGUGUCCCAACCUUUUUGGAAUUAGGGUUGUAGUUGUAUGUUGUUGCAACGUGAUGAGCAUGUUCCAAUGACCAAACUGGUACAUUAUAAAGAAGAAACAUUUCCUCAGUUGAAACAUUUGAUAUAUUUUCUGUGUUCUAUAGUGAAUAACAUAUGGAUUUAUGAAAUUUGCAAAUCAUUGCAUUCUGUUUUUAUUGACAUUUUACUCACUCCUUUUUUGGAAUUGGGAUUGUAUAUUGUCACCACGACGAAUAUGAGAAUCACAAAGUUUCAUUUCGGUAUAGCGCCUCCCCCUCACUCGUGGAGCCACGUUGCUGCUUUGGGCUGCCUGAGUCUGUUGGGUUUCGCUGCAUCAGUUUGUUUUGCUUUUAUUUAUGUUUGUUACUGUCACUAAGAUCAGUUUGAGCUCGGGGUUAUCUCUGUGUUUUUGUGACAGUAAGUUUCUCUUUGUUUUGUUUUAUUCUUUUGUUUGUCUGCUUUGAGCAUAUUGUAAUUGACUUUGUGUUUUUGUUUUCUC